UACGUAGGGGGCAAGCGUUGUCCGGAAUCAUUGGGCGUAAAGCGCGCGUAGGCGGCCGAGUAAGUCUGCUCUGAAAGCCCGGGGCUCAACCCCGGGAGGCGGGUGGAUACUGCUCGGCUCGAGUCCGGAAGAGGAGUGUGGAAUUCCUGGUGUAGCGGUGAAAUGCGCAGAUAUCAGGAGGAACACCAAUGGCGAAGGCAGCACUCUGGGACGGUACUGACGCUGAGACGCGAAAGCGUGGGGAGCAAACAGG
rnacentral:rRNA from 1 species